rnacentral:rRNA from 1 species
AUUAAUUCGAUGCAACGCGAAAAACCUUACCUACCCUUGACAUGGUCGGAAUCCUGGAGAGAUCUGGGAGUGCUCGAAAGAGAACCGGCGCACAGGUGCUGCAUGGCUGUUGUCAGCUCGUGUCGUGAGAUGUCGGGUUAAGUCCCGCAACGAGCGCAACCCUUGUCAUUAGUUGCUACGAAAGGGCACUCUAAUGAGACUGCCGGUGACAAACCGGAGGAAGGUGGGGAUGACGUCAAGUCCUCAUGGCCCUUAUGGGUAGGGCUUCACACGUCAUACAAUGGUACAUACAGAGGGCUGCCAACCCGCGAGGGGGAGCUAAUCCCAGAAAGUGUAUCGUAGUCCGGAUUGUAGUCUGCAACUCGACUACAUGAAGUUGGAAUCGCUAGUAAUCGCGGAUCAGCAUGUCG